UACGGAGGGUGCAAGCGUUAUCCGGAUUCACUGGGUUUAAAGGGUGCGUAGGUGGCUAUUUAAGUCAGUGGUGAAAGCCCGCGGCUCAACCGUGGAAUUGCCAUUGAAACUGAGUAGCUUGAGUACAGUUGAAGUGGGCGGAAUAUGUCAUGUAGCGGUGAAAUGCUUAGAUAUGACAUAGAACACCGAUUGCGAAGGCAGCUCACUAAGCUGUAACUGACACUGAGGCACGAAAGCGUGGGUAGCGAACAGG
rnacentral:rRNA from 1 species